ACCUGAGGUGGACGACGGGGCUGUCGCGGUUGCGGCUCUGAACCGGCGUCGGCCUUUACCGUUUCCACGUGUGCCGCUUCCAGUGCCCAGACCUCCUUCUCCUCUUCACCCCCUCGCCUCGCCAGCUCCUAAGGCUUCUUCCCCUGUCCCGCAAAGUUGGAUUCGGUGUCCCAUAGCAUCCUGUACUUUCCUAAUUAUAUUUACACACAGAAUGAAAAUCACCUGUCUGCCUGUCUCUCCCCAUUCCCAUCUAUAGAUUCCUUGCACAGGGACUAUCUGUUAUUCACAGCUAUAUCUGCAGAGCCUGGCACGAAGGAGGCACUCCGAAAGGUGUUUUUUGAAGAAUUCUCUUUCAGUUAUCUGGCAUCUCACGGAGAAAGUGUACUCCCUUCCACACACCAGGGAGGCUUACAAAAAGGAACACGGCCUUGGAUCUAAAAGGACUUGGAUGUGGCAAAAUCUUAACUUUCCCACACUAAGCAUGACCAGCGCUUCAGCGUUGUUAAAUCAGGACCUCGUUCUAUAAAUAUUUCUGAUUUGAAAAGCCGCAUUCAUGUUCUCUACUGCAAAAUCUAAGCCCGAGAUGGCAGCAGCAUCUCAGGAAUACGGAAUAUGAAGAAAACACAGCACAGUUGUUAGCUCCAGCUGCUGAUGUUCUGAGCUGCCUGUCCAUAAUUCAGAGGACAAGACAAGGUCACUCAUAAACACCACUGAACUGUGUCUCCUUUCACGGGUUCUGCAUAAAAAUAUUGCAGCCCCAAUGAACAUCAAACAAGUGUAAUGGAUUGGUUUAAUUCACAUCCGAACACUCACAAACACAGUGGCCCUAAUAACAUUCCUGUUUCCAGUGGAUUUCCAUGCUUGUCAAUUAUUCUGAAACAUCAACUGUCUUAACGUUGACAAACAAGAUGCUAACUUGAUUUUUUAACAAUCCUUUUCAAGAGCAACAGAGUCCAUUCUCUAUGUGUGCCAUCCACAGGCAUGGGCUUGAGCCUCCUGGCCGGGUGUGCUAAGUGCCCCUAGGGUACACCCAAAAUACGGCAGGUGACAGAGAAAUUGAUGUUCACUUUAGGGACUGUCCAUGGCACUAAGGCUGAUGUGAGUUAUACUGAUAUAAGCACUCAUAUGACACCUAAAACUGGGAAGGAACUCAAGCAGAGAUGGAUGGGUGUUUGGGACCAC
rnacentral:lncRNA from 1 species